GCUAGGAUAGCUCAGUGGGUAGAACAUGAGGCACUUAAUCUCAGGGUCGUAGGUUCAAGCCCUGUUGUGCUGGUC